UACGAAGGGGGCUAGCGUUGCUCGGAAUCACUGGGCGUAAAGGGCGCGUAGGCGGGCUCUUAAGUCAGGGGUGAAAGCCCAAGGCUCAACCUUGGAAUGUCAGUGGAUACUGCCGGGCUAGAGUCCGGAAGAGGCGAGUGGAACUCCUGGUGUAGCGGUGGAAUGCGCAGAUAUCAGGAAGAACACCAACGGCGAAGGCAGCUCGCUGGGACGGUACUGACGCUGAGACGCGAAAGCGUGGGGAGCGAACAGG
rnacentral:rRNA from 1 species